rnacentral:rRNA from 1 species
AUUGAACGCUGGCGGCAGGCUUAACACAUGCAAGUCGAGCGGAGAUGAGGUGCUUGCACCUUAUCUUAGCGGCGGACGGGUGAGUAAUGCUUAGGAAUCUGCCUAUUAGUGGGGGACAACAUUCCGAAAGGAAUGCUAAUACCGCAUACGCCCUACGGGGGAAAGCAGGGGAUCUUCGGACCUUGCGCUAAUAGAUGAGCCUAAGUCGGAUUAGCUAGUUGGUGGGGUAAAGGCCUACCAAGGCGACGAUCUGUAGCGGGUCUGAGAGGAUGAUCCGCCACACUGGGACUGAGACACGGCCCAGACUCCUACGGGAGGCAGCAGUGGGGAAUAUUGGACAAUGGGGGGAACCCUGAUCCAGCCAUGCCGCGUGUGUGAAGAAGGCCUUAUGGUUGUAAAGCACUUUAAGCGAGGAGGAGGCUACUGAGACUAAUACUCUUGGAUAGUGGACGUUACUCGCAGAAUAAGCACUGGCUAACUCUGUGCCAGCCGCCGCCGUAAGAC